AUACGGAGGACGCGAGCGUUAUCCGGAUUCAUUGGGUUUAAAGGGUGCGCAGGCGGCCGUGCAAGUCAGCGGUGAAAGCCCGGGGCCCAACCCCGGAAGUGCCGUUGAUACUGCAUGGCUUGAAUGCGGUCGAGGCGGGCGGAACGUGGCGUGUAGCGGUGAAAUGCGUAGAUAUGCCACAGAAAGCCGGUAGCGGAGGCGGCGCGCCAGGCCUGCAUUGACGCUCGGGCACGAAAGCGUGGGGAUCGAACAGGAUUAGAUACCCUGGUAGUCCACGCCGUAAACGAUGGGCGCUCGUCGUCGGCGACAGACAGUCGGCGGCCAAGCGAAAGCGAUAAGCGCCCCACCUGGGGAGUACGGUCGCAAGGCUGAAACUUAAAGGAAUUGACGGGG
rnacentral:rRNA from 1 species